AUACGGAGGGAGCAAGCGUUAUGCGGAAUCACUGGGCGUAAAGGACGCGUAGGCGGGUUUGUAAGUCAGGUGUGAAAUCCUACAGCUCAACUGUAGAACUGCACUUGAAACUACAGACCUAGAGUAUGGAAGGGGCAGAUGGAAUUAGUGGUGUAGGGGUAAAAUCCGUAGAUAUCACUAGGAAUACCGAAAGCGAAGGCGAUCUGCUGGGACAUUACUGACGCUGAGGCGUGAAAGCGUGGGGAGCAAACCGGAUUAGAAACCCCAGUAGUCC
rnacentral:rRNA from 1 species